ensembl:lncRNA
GCCACUGAGAUGCAGGGGGUCAUAAAGGCCAUUGUUCUGAGCUCCAGAAGGUAGAGCAGAUGUGAACAACAGAAAGAAGGCCUCUCUCAGGCUCCUUGAUGAAAAUUGAAGCCCACUGGAAAAAUGAAGAAAAUCUCUGCAAUAAAGGCACACCAGACCACCAUACUUGGAAUCUAGCUGGCAAGUUAAAAGCAUUUCAUACUUGGAGAGUGUCAAGACUAUCUGAUAGAAGGGAACAAUGGAGCACAGGACAUUCUAAGAAGUGCAAAACAGACGAAUAAAGGGACUGAGGUAGGAAACAGCCUGGCAUGAUUUGAGAAUGACAGUAAUUAUUUACAGUUGGAAAUCAGGGCAUCAGGAUGAAACUACCAGAGAGCGUGUUGGAGAGAGACAGGUGAGUUUCGGCUCAAGGAGGGUUACAUACCAU